rnacentral:rRNA from 1 species
CCUCUUCGGAGGCGUGCACACAGGUGCUGCAUGGCUGUCGUCAGCUCGUGUCGUGAGAUGUUGCGUUAAGUCCCGCAACGAGCGCAACCCACGUCCUCAGUUGCCAUCAUUCAGUUGGGCACUCUGGAGAGACUGCCGGUGAUAAGCCGCGAGGAAGGUGUGGAUGACGUCAAGUCCUCAUGGCCCUUACGGGAUGGGCUACACACGUGCUACAAUGGCGGUGACAGUGGGACGCGAAGGGGUGACCCUGAGCCAAUCUCCAAAAGCCGUCUCAGUUCGGAUUGCACUCUGCAACUCGAGUGCAUGAAGGCGGAAUCGCUAGUAAUCGUGGAUCAGCAUGCCACGGUGAAUACGUUCCCGGGCCUUGUACACACCGCCCGUCACACCAUGGGAGUUGGUCUUACCCGACGGCGCUGCGCCAACUGGCAACAGAGGCAGGCGACCACGGUAGGGUCAGCGACUGGGGUCGAGUCGUA